GCCAGCCCGCUCAGAACUUAAGGAAUUGACGGGGCCCGCACAAGCGGUGGAGCAUGUGGUUUAAUUCGAUGAUACGCGAGGAACCUUACCUGGGCUCAAAUGUAUGUUGACGUAUUCUGAAAGGGAUACUUCUUCGGACAAUAUACAAGGUGCUGCAUGGUUGUCGUCAGCUCGUGCCGUGAGGUGUCGGGUUAAGUCCCAUAACGAGCGCAACCCCUAUCAUUAGUUGCCAUCAGGUCAAGCUGGGGACUCUAAUGAAACUGCCUACGCAAGUAGUGAGGAAGGUGGGGAUGACGUCAAAUCAGCACGGCCCUUACGUCCAGGGCUACACACGUGCUACAAUGGCCGGUACAAAGGGCAGCUACCUGGUGACAGGAUGCUAAUCUCAAAAGCCGGUCUCAGUUCGGAUCGGAGUCUGCAACCCGACUCCGUGAAGCUGGAUUCGCUAGUAAUCGCGCAUCAGCCAUGGCGCGGUGAAUACGUUCCCGGGCCUU
rnacentral:rRNA from 1 species